AAUAGAUACCCAGGUAGUCCACGCCGUAAACGAUGGAUACUAGCUGUUCGUCCGCCUCGGCGGAUGAGUGGCUAAGCGAAAGUGAUAAGUAUCCCACCUGGGGAGUACGAACGCAAGUUUGAAACUCAAAGGAAUUGACGGGGGCCCGCACAAGCGGUGGAGCAUGUGGUUUAAUUCGAUGAUACGCGAGGAACCUUACCAAGGCUUAAAUGUAGAUUGACAGGACUGGAAACAGUUUUUUCUUCGGACAAUUUACAAGGUGCUGCAUGGUUGUCGUCAGCUCGUGCCGUGAGGUGUCAGGUUAAGUCCUAUAACGAGCGCAACCCCUGUUGUUAGUUGCCAGCGAGUCAAGUCGGGAACUCUAACAAGACUGCCAGUGUAAACUGUGAGGAAGGUGGGGAUGACGUCAAAUCAUCACGGCCCUUACGCCUUGGGCUACACACGUGCUACAAUGGCCGGUACAGAGAGCAGCCACUGCGCGAGCAGGAGCGAAUCUAUAAAACCGGUCACAGUUCGGAUCGGAGU
rnacentral:rRNA from 1 species